ensembl:processed_transcript
GGUUCAUGGACUGCAGGUCAAUGAUGAAGUAGGGGGCAAUCUGUCUCUCCACCUAGCCCAGCACCACGCUGGCCCUGCGCGUGGACCAGCGCACCACCGCCUUGAAGUGGUGGUUCACAGCAGGACUGUAGGGACAUUCUUCAGCCGCCAUUCUUCAGCCAUUCUUACACCACUAGGGUCCAAGGCUGAGGUCUGGAGCAUGAGAGCCCUGAGAUGCCCUCCUUCCCCGUCCCUGCACACCCGGCCUCGGGCGCCACCGCCUCUCGGGAAGCCUCAGCUGCGGCUCAUGGGAGAGUCUGCAGUCGCUUAGGCACCGGGACGCUGACUCGGAGCUGCCCGCUUCCGACUGCGCUCCACCGCCGCUGCCGCUGCCGCUGCCGCUGCCGCUGCCGCUGCCGCUGCCACUGCUCCGAGGGGUCCAGCGGCUUCAUGCAAAGACCGGGCCCUGCGCAUUCGUCGCCCUGCCUUGCAAAGCCACCCAGGGCGCACGGCCCAAGCGCGACACAGCACCCGCCUCACACCAGUUGCGCCUCGGGCUCCAGCUCCACUGUCAGGCCCUCAGUCCUCUCUCCGCUCGGAGCAAGGCAACGGCGGUGGCACAGCUCCCUCCCUGCGACUCCGCUCAGUGGCUUCCAGGAGUCUCCCCUCCCCGGCAGAAUGCCAAGGCCUGGUGCCCACAGAAGUCUGGAGAAAGCACCAGAUCCCCUGAACUGGAGUUACCAGUAUUUACUAACCACCGUGCAGUGCAGAAGACCAAACCCAGUUCCUCUGCAACAGCAACAGGGUGCUCCAUAAUCUGGAGUUUAUUUAAUAAUUUGUAAAUCAGAAUCUUCAUAUGCAAUUAAUGCUUCCAUGGAAUUCAGUAUUCAGCCCAGUUUGUCUUCAACCUCACAAUUUUCAUAUAUCCUUAAUACUGUGACUCAGGCAGCAUGUAUCAUAAAACACAUGCAAGCUAUUCUCUUUAUUAUGUAAAUUCCUUAAAUUAAUAUAAUCACAUGAAAUAUCUUGGUUACUUCUUAUGUAGAUAGAUACAAAUACACAGUGGAUUGUAAUAGAAAUUCUCAUUUUUUUAUUGGACUACACAUUUUUUUUUGGUAAAUUUUCAUCAUCUCUUAUUUUUUUAUAAGACUU